AUUUAAAUAUACACUGCAUUCCGUAACUUACAGCUGGCAGUACUGCCAGCAUGACGUCAUUAUAGUGUGCUAUGCAAGCGUUCCAUUUUUACUAGUUCACUAUCGCUGUACUAUGAAAUUGUGGAAACGGAACGGGAUUGAAUAGUACUGCGUAUAACACUGCGUAUGACACUGUCAUAUAAGAAAAUGGAAAAAGUUUUUAUAAUUGAUAAUAUUGCACAUAUAAUGGAAUCAAGCGGUGAAUCUGAUAGUAACUCUGAUAGAGGAAAUGUUAAUUAUAUUAAAGAAAAGUAGAUCAAAUUCUAUAUCUAAAAUACAUUGUAGAAGAUAUAGUAUCUCGAUAUACAAACAAAGAAUUUAAAACUCACUUUUGAUUACAUUGGAAUACAUGUUUUUUAUAUUGGAAUUAAUAGGGCCAAUCUUAGAAAGAGAUAGAAAAUCAGAUAGAUGCACGAUCUCUCCUGAAAAGCAAUUAAAACAAUAAUUUCGUAUAUAAUAAUGUUUAUACAAACUUGGUGUAGCGCGAAUGAUUGAAUCCGCUAUAAUAUAAAUAUCAAACUUUAUUUUUAUUUCGCAA